ACACAUCGAGAAGAAGACAACAAGAAAAAGAGAAAAGCAGUAGCAGCGAGUGAAGAACAUAUAUGCUUCACCCAAAAAUAUGGUACAUGCAUCUUACAAAUGCAUGUAAACAUGGAGAGAUGUAUGACGAAUUAUUUUCCUAACCAGAACAGGUAAGCCAUAUAUUUCUUCUUAAUUUUUCGAAUUUCUAUUCGUGCAAUUUACUUAUUUAUAGGACAAAAAUGAUCUUAUAGCUAAUGUAUUCUUUGCCAGCAAACAGAAGCCUUGAUCCCGUAAAACUCUUUUCCUCUAAACCUAAAUUAACCUACAAUAUUUCUUAGAGGUACAGAUUACUUCUAAAUUCCUUCUACUCUUUCUUUUGUAAAAACUUCAAGAAGUUUAAUCACAUCGCAGUCAAAAAACGUUCUUCGUCGAUAAUAUACAUAUCACAUCACAACGGGUAAAACAUAAUCCUUUGAUAUCAACUGUUGGUUCUCUUUAAUAGCAUAUAUAAUCUCUACUGCUUGCGCUACUCACUAGGUUUGCUACCAAAAUUUUAGGGAAUUGAGAGAAUUUAAUUUUCUGAUUUGGAUUGUGUUAAUCCAAAUCAAAAUAAAUUAAGUUUUGUAUUGUGUUAAUCCAAAAAGCUAAGUACUUUUAGCUUUUUAAUUUUUUGUAUUGUGUUAAUCUUAUUUUUGUUUUUCCAUACUCAAUUUUAAGUUUUUCUAAAUUUUUACUACCCUGUUCGAAUAAAUUAAAUUUCCAUGUUAAUAGCAAUCCAUCUUAUAUGCAUCUUUGUAAUCUACUUAUCUAAUACAGCUAAUGGGGUAGAAUGAAGUUGUUUCAUGUAUAUAUAUUUUUUUGUAAACAUGCCUAGAAGAUAAAAUUUUCAAGGAUGGCGAUGUUAUUUAACGUGGAUGUAUAAAAUUUAAAAGUGAAGAUGCAGAGUCUACUAAAGUACUAAAGUUGUAGCUGUUGAGGUGGAAAAACUCCUAAUCAUCAGCCAUGAUUUAAGCGAUGUUAUACUGGAAGGAUAGUAUAAGCUACAAUUAGAUGUUGAAUUCUAAGGUAAGUAAUAUAGGUAGGCUCGAAUAACAGCACUAUAAAGUUAGAUAAUAUAAGUUGUAAUGGCCAAGCACAUGAGUUAGCAGCUUGGGCCAAUGUUGAAUUUGAUAUAAGGCCAACACCUGAAUCGUCUGACGACUAUUAUAUAUUUUAAAGAUUUUUUUAGUGAAAAUAACAAAUCUGCAUGUGAUAUAUAGUUCAUCAACAAAAAUCAUAUAUAGUUCAUCAGUUUAUAAAUUGAUCGAGUCUUUAAGUGUAUUUUAUUGGUAUGAUUGAAUUCUUCAUAACAUGUUUUAUUUAUUUCUAUUUUUCUUACAACUUUUACAUUGUACCUUCUUCAACAUCUUAUCUCUUCUUCUUAGGGCUUUUCUUUCCUACUCCUGGUAAUCCUAAAACAUUUUAUUCAUUUUAUUCUUUUGAUCUCUAAUGGUUUAGUAUUUGCAACAGUAGUUAUUUUCUUAAUUGUCAACAUAGAACAAUGCAUAUAUUUGUACUGCAAGAGCAAUUGAGCUAUAUCAAUUACAUGCAUUAUGAGUAGUAGCUUUAAACAUAUCCAUGUUCUUAGAUUAUUAUUGUUUAUCUAUACUCAUAUCCAUUUCCUUAGAUUUGUAUCAUCUGAAAUCCUGUUUGAUGCACAACUGCCAAGUUUAUUUCUUCUUCUUUGAUAAGAGCUUCUUCUUAUUCAUUAACUUCAUAGGUUAGAUAUUUUUUAAUGGAAUUUUUUAGUGUAAUAAAUUUUGUUUCUAUCUAAAUUGAUCCAUCACAAUAUCAUUCUCUGUCUAUUAAUUCAUAUUUUCUUUGUGCGCUUAUUUUAUAUUUGUGUGCUUCUCUUAUACAGGAUAUAGUUCAGACUUCAGAUUAAUGUUAUAUGAAGAUAUUGGAUCAACCCUUUUAUAGGGAAUCAAUGUCGAUUAGAAUAUAAGAAAGUUGCUGAAAAUCUGUGAAUCUUUAGAAGGUAAUAGUAUUUCGAUUAUAAAAAUAUAAAAUUGUAGAUACAAAUUUAAAUAUCUAUCAAUUAUUUAGUCGCCUAUUAAUUUUGAGUUCAUAUAUACGUUCUCCCCUACGUUUUUGCGUAUCCUUGAUAUGUAUAACAACUCCCAUUUUUGCGAAAAAAAGGGUUCUCCCCUGCAUUAAUUUUUUUUUCUGAAGAAUUCUCAUAUGUUUUCUCAUAUGAAAAUGUUGUUGCAUGAUUAUAGUCCAACAAAGAAUAUCUAAUAAUCAGUUUUUAAGUUGCACAAACUAAUACUGUAAGAAGCUAGCGAUUCACACACCGGCCGACUAUUCCUAGGAUCAUUGUGAAUUAUCAUAUUGGUAAUUUACUAAUGCAUAUAUAACACUAUCUUACAAGUUACAAAUAUUUUUAUGAUAAAGUUUUGAGUGAUUUUUUUCCAACAAAUAUUCGAAAAGCGAACAAACAUUUAGAAUCCCAAAAAACUAUCUGAAAUUACAAACUGGUGGCCCAAUGUACAUUUAAUUAUCUGGAUAUGAGUGAUUGUAUAGGUUUGUAUAUAAGGUGGUCCGGGUAACGGGACAAAUGUAGUAUAUGUCAAGAUAAGAAGCCAUGUUUGGUUGUGAAGGUUCAUUACCUUGGCAUUUUAAAUGUUGUUGGAAGAAAAAGAACAUAACAAAAACAAAGUACAUUGACAAAGUAUAAGAAGAAUGGAAAGCUAAGUAUAUAUGCAGGAGCAUCAACUCCCCAAGGAAAAAACCACAACUUAUUAACCCCUUCUCUAUGCUUACUCAUGUAACUAUCAGUAAUUGUCCAACCUGUUUGUCUUUCAUGUGGAACUUACUGCCCCCUCCCCCCUUAAGUAUUUUUUUAUUUUUAGGGCAAAAAGCUAAGAUACUCAUAUGAACUAUGAGAUCUUUCUAUUUGGAUAUAUUCGCGCAAUUUACAUUAUGUGUGCAAUAUCAUUUCAUUGAAAAUGGUACCUAAACUGUUUUGCUUUAGAGUUACACUUCAUGAUAUAUUUUGCUUUGUGGUAUACCUGCACUUUAAUACUGAGAAUAUAUGUUAAAUACUUACGAUAGGCAAUCACUGUUUGUAGCUGGGAGGACUAUAAAGAACUAUAAACUGUUUUGCAUUGCUAUGGUGUAUUCAGUUUCUUAACAGACCAUUUGGUUAUUGAACAGACCUCUGGACCAGUAAUCCAUUUGGUGCAUGAUAUUAGGUAUAAAAUAAUUGCAAUUCCAUAUAUGAAAAUAGUUCAAAUAUAUAUAGGCCAAUGAAAAUGCAUCCAUUCUUACUACGUAUUCUCUACAACCUCUUUAUGUUUUGGUGGGUUAAAAGGUAACUUGAAUGUCUAUGAGCUUAACAAUGCCACCUCAAUUGGGCCAAGCCAGUAAACUAAUUAACUAGAUGGUCGAUCCUUGGUAAUAUGUUCCCUUUUGUGUGAGCCCAUCAUUGGUAGAUCCUCUGGACCUAUAGUGGUUAUCAAAGGCAUAAUAGAAUUAUUCCAGUAUUGAUUCAUCUUUAUGGGAACCUUGGUGACGCUAAUUGGUGUUCUUUGUUGAAAUCUGAAUCCAAGUUUUUUUUUUUUUUUUGUUUAAUAUCUUUUUUUUUUUGGUAAACUAUUGUGCUUUUUAAAAAAUUUUAUGAUAUACCCUAUAUUGCUGACAGAAUUUUCAAAAUUUUGAAGGCAUGAAAGUUCGAUUCAAAAAUUUUCAAUAGAAAGUUUAUCAUGUUUCCAGGCUGCGAGAAUAUGUGGUUGAUCACGACGAUGGAACCAAAAAACGUCGACCAGGAGUUGAAAGAAAGUAUAUUUUGUAACAAUAGAGAUGACACGUAAGUUUUACUGGGUUUAUUAAACGAAAGUACUCAAAACAUGCACCUAUAUAGAUAAUAUUUUGAAUUUCGUAGUUCGAUAUGUUAAGAAUAUUAAAACCAUAAUUUGGUUGCUAUGGUAAAUAAUAUGAAAGAGGACCUCUUUUAGGGUUUAGGACCUUAUCAAAUCCAUGUUCUUUUUAAUAUAUGUCAUGCAUAUUCCCCUCCUCCACCCUCAACAUCUUUUUUCUUUUCCUUAGUCUUAUUUGUUAUUUUUUUGUAUUGGUGGUGCUAUAUUCGGUCUCAUCUAUCUGUGCUUUCGGGUAAUACAACUGAUUUGCGUGGAAGCUCAGUUGAAAGGCAUUGUAGAAGUUGUAUGGAGAUCGAUGAUGGUUAAAGCACGCAACCCAUUCUAGGAGCAAAGGUGUGUUCUUCCAGUUUUAAUUAAUCUUGAACUCAUUUAGGAAUUUAAUUAAUCUUGGUUAGUUGCCUGGAUUUGCUGACCAUUUCAGCAACUGUGUGGAGAUGUUGUUGUGCAACUAACCUAAUGCAGGAGGUGACAUGUGAGAAAUGCUAUGAUAAUUUCUUCUUACUGCCCAAAUUAUAUGCAUUGCGAAGUACUGUAGGUUUUUUUAGAGGUUAUCGAACAACAAAAUUAUCAGGAAUACUGAAGUUACAGACAGGUUGCAGAAAUUAAGGAACUGACUUGGCAUUUGUUGAAGGAAGAAGCUCCAACCAAUGCAAAUUACCCAUAUAUAUAGAGAUAUCUAAUCAUUAGUUGGGGGAUUCUGAUUACACCAUAGCAACAUGUACUUUAAUUUUGUUCAUUUUUUUGGUAUUUUCUAUAUUAUUUGCCUUUUUUUUGUUUUGUUUUUAUUUUGCUCUAUAAUGUUUACUCUAUAAUUGAAUUCUUACUAUGUUUACUCUAUAAUUGAAUUCUUACUUUCUUAGUGAUAUCAUCUAUCACACAAACCCCUACCUAUGUAACGUUUUCUCACAUUCUUA
rnacentral:lncRNA from 1 species